rnacentral:lncRNA from 1 species
GCUCUCACGAGUGUGUAAGCCAGGGUUUUGGGGAAGGGGUGGAUGGGUGUGUCUCGCAUUUUCCCAGCUGCCUCUCCCUUCCCCUUCCUCCUUGCUCCCGGAGACUUCUUUGUGGAUUCCUUUCCAGGACUUGGUCUGAAUUCCCUAAUAGGCGUUCUCCUAGCGGGAUGAGUCCCUCUUUACAGCACUCGGGAACUGCCUGCUCCUCUAGCUGUCUCUGAUCCACCUCUCCUGUCUUUCAACUAAAGCCCUCACAUGCCAGACCACCACUGGUGGAUCUCAUCACCAGCAUGAAGUGGGCCCUUGGAGUUGUUGGCUGACUAGGUUCACAAUUAGUGACUCAUAGCAUCUCACUCAUUUCCUCUUCAUCAGUAGGAGGCAGCAGUCUGCACUUUUGCAUCACAUUUGGAAGACAUCUGUGUGUUUGUCCUUGUGCAGAACACUUUGACUAUUGUAACCUCUAGGUCCGUGAAUGACCCUCAUCCUCAGUAAAAGUGGAUUCACGCUGGCAGUCUGCUUUGUUUUAUUGUGACACAUGGAACAUUAUAGGUUUUGGUGAAUAAAAACUAACUUAAAUUGAAGUCA